rnacentral:rRNA from 1 species
UAUGUGAUCGUCUCUCGCAUAUCAAUAAGCGGAGGAAAAGAAACUAACAAGGAUUCCCCUAGUAACGGCGAGUGAAGCGGGAAGAGCUCAAAUUUGAAAUCUUAAAGGGUUUCCCUUUACGAAUUGUAGUUUAAAGAAGUGUUUUCUGUUGAGGUUUUGGUAAAAGUUCUUUGGAAUAGGACAUCAUAGAGGGUGAGAGUCCCGUAUUUGACCUUUACUUUCAACUUUGUGAUACACUUUCAAAGAGUCGGAUUGUUUGGGAAUGCAGUCCAAAAUGGGUGGUAAAUUUCAUCUAAAGCUAAAUAUUGGCGAGAGACCGAUAGCGAACAAGUACCGUGAGGGAAAGACGAAAAGAACUUUGAAAAGAGAGUUAAACAGUACGUGAAAUUGUCAAAAGGGAAGCGUUUGACACCAGUGUUGUUUUUCUGAAAAUCAAUUAAAGAACUGUUUAUGCUAAGUUGUUUAGACUUUAUCAGCUAACUGUUUAGUUUUGAGCUUUUCUUUAAUGCACUUUUCAGUUAACAAGUCAACAUCAAUUUCUUUUGCUGUAAAAAAGCUUGAGGAAGGUGGCUUGAGAUUCGUCUUAAGUGUUUAUAGCCUCUUGCCUAUGCAGUCGGAGAGAUUGAGGUCUGCAGCGUAGAUCCUUCGGGGCUAAAUGCAUUUGUGCUAAGUUAUAGCAUUUUAUAGACAACUUGUUGACUAUGAUUUGUCUUGUAGCUUACUCGCUUAUGUUAUUUUACCUACGCUUAGGAUGUUGACACACGCGCGUGCUCG